UCAGGACGAACGCUGGCGGCGUGCUUAAUACAUGCAAGUCGAGCGAGGUUACUGCGACAGAUCCCUUCGGGGUGAAGUUGCUUUAGCCUAGCGGCGGACGGGUGAGUAACGCGUGGGUAACCUACCCUAAAGUUCGGGAUAACAGCGGGAAACCGCUGCUAAUACCGGAUGCCUUUACCGUGUGGCAUCACAAGGUAAAGAAAGGUAACGCUUUAGGAUGGGCCCGCGUCCCAUUAGCUAGUUGGUGAGGUAACAGCUCACCAAGGCGACGAUGGGUAGCCGGCCUGAGAGGGUGGACGGCCACACUGGGACUGAGACACGGCCCAGACUCCUACGGGAGGCAGCAGUAGGGAAUUUUCGGCAAUGGGCGAAAGCCUGACCGAGCGACGCCGCGUGAGGGACGAAGGCCUUCGGGUUGUAAACCUCUGUCUGGGGGGAUGAGAAUGGACGGUACCCCCGGAGGAAGCCCCGGCUAACUACGUGCCAGCAGCCGCGGUAAUACGUAGGGGGCGAGCGUUGUCCGGAAUUACUGGGCGUAAAGGGCGC
rnacentral:rRNA from 1 species